rnacentral:tRNA from 1 species
GGCCCCAUAGUAUAAUGGUUCGUAUAUCGGGCUUUCAUCCCGAAGAUCGGAGUUCGAUUCUCCGUGGGGUCA